CCCUUUGUGAACCAACUCUGUUGCUUCGGGGGCGACCCCGCCGUCGGCGCCCCCGGAGGUCAUCAAACACUGCAUCUUUGCGUCGGAGUCUUAAAGCAAAUUUAAAACAAAACUUUCAACAACGGAUCUCUUGGUUCUGGCAUCGAUGAAGAACGCAGCGAAAUGCGAUAAGUAAUGUGAAUUGCAGAAUUCAGUGAAUCAUCGAAUCUUUGAACGCACAUUGCGCCCUGUGGUAUUCCGCAGGGCAUGCCUGUUCGAGCGUCAUUUCACCACUCAAGCCUCGCUUGGUAUUGGGCGUCGCGGUUCCGCGCGCCUUAAAGUCUCCGGCUGAGCGGUUCGUCUCUAAGCGUUGUGGCAUCAUUGUCGCUGAAGAGUGCGGACGGUUUCCGGCCGUUAAAUCUUGUACAAGGUUGACCUCGGAUCAGGUAGGGAUACCCGCUGAACUUAAGCAUAUCAAUA
rnacentral:rRNA from 1 species